rnacentral:tRNA from 1 species
UAUUUUCUGAUAGUAUAGUAGUAUAUUUACCUUCCAAGUAAAAGGUCCAUUAAUGGGCAGGGUUU